rnacentral:rRNA from 1 species
GACGAACGCUGGCGGCGUGCUUAACACAUGCAAGUCGAACGGAAAGGCCCUGCUUUUGUGGGGUGCUCGAGUGGCGAACGGGUGAGUAACACGUGAGUAACCUGCCCUUUACUUUUGGAUAACUUCAGGAAACUGGGGCUAAUACCGGAUAGGAGCUCCUGCUGCAUGGUGGGGGUUGGAAAGUUUCGGCGGUUGGGGAUGGACUCGCGGCUUAUCAGCUUGUUGGUGGGGUAGUGGCUUACCAAGGCUUUGACGGGUAGCCGGCCUGAGAGGGUGACCGGCCACAUUGGGACUGAGAUACGGCCCAGACUCCUACGGGAGGCAGCAGUGGGGAAUAUUGAACAAUGGGCGGAAGCCUGAUGCAGCAACGCCGCGUGCGGGAUGACGGCCUUCGGGUUGUAAACCGCUUUCGCCUGUGACGAAGCGUGAGUGACGGUAAUGGGUAAAGAAGCACCGGCUAACUACGUG